UACGUAGGUGGCAAGCGUUGUCCGGAUUUAUUGGGUUUAAAGGGUGCGCAGGCGGCCGAGUGUGUGAGGCGUGAAAGCCCGGGGCUUAACCCCGGAAUUGCACCUCAAACUACACGGCUAGAGCAUUGGAGAGGGUAGCAGAAUUCACGGUGUAGCAGUGAAAUGCGUAGAUAUCGUGAGGAAUACCAGAGGCGAAGGCGGCUACCUGGACAAUUGCUGACGCUCAGGCACGAAAGCGUGGGGAGCAAACAGG
rnacentral:rRNA from 1 species